CCGUUGUACACACCGCCCGUCACACCAUGGGAGCGGGUUCUGCCAGAAGUAGUUAGCCUAACCGCAAGGAGGGCGAUUACCACGGCAGGGUUCGUGACUGGGGUGAAGUCGUAACAAAGGUACCC
rnacentral:rRNA from 1 species